rnacentral:lncRNA from 1 species
GGAUGAGUGAACCCAACUAGAGAGAUAGAGUCAUCUUAUUAUUAUUUUAAAUAUAUUAAGAGGAAGGGAAUGGGAAGACCCUUUCCCUUUCUCUUUUCUUCCUUCUUCCCGACGGAAAGGGGGAAAGGGCGCUCGGCAGCAGGCGGCCCACGGCCGGCGACGCUCCCUGGUCGUCGGCCUGUGGUGGUGCCGGCGGUGCCACGCCCGGCGACGGCCGGCCGGAACGAGAGAGAAGGCCGAACAAGGCUCGGCUUCUCCAUCAAUCCGGCGGCUUCCCGGCCACAUUCCCAAAGAGAUAAUGACCAAAGACGAUGGAGGAGGAAGAGAAGGUGCUCACCUUGCCUCCGUCGAGGUCCUCCCGACGGAUCGACGGCGA